rnacentral:rRNA from 1 species
GACAGAGGGGGCAAGCGUUGCUCGGAAUUACUGGGCGUAAAGCGCGCGUAGGCGGCUUUGUAAGUUAGAGGUGAAAGCCCGGAGCUCAACUCCGGAACUGCCUUUAAAACUGCAUCGCUUGAAUCCAGGAGAGGUGAGUGGAAUUCCGAGUGUAGAGGUGAAAUUCGUAGAUAUUCGGAAGAACACCAGUGGCGAAGGCGGCUCACUGGACUGGUAUUGACGCUGAGGUGCGAAAGCGUGGGGAGCAAACAGG